AGGACAAAUACAGAAUGUGAGGUGCAGGGAGCUGAAGGCCCCUGGGAAGUGACCAACUCAGCAUUUCGCUGGAGGCUAUAGGAUCAAACAGCAAACUGUUUAUCAUGAAUGCAGGAUGUGGGCAAACUCACACUGCCCUGCCACCAAAAGUCCCCCUAGGUCCAUGCAGGUUACAUAGUGGUGCCCCAAACAGUGACACAAUUGGGUUCUCAACAAGUGGUGACUCAGAACAGGGACGCCAAGGAUGCCAACAAGUGGCGUCUGAACACGGGACUUCGACGAUGUGAACAAAAAAGAUCUGCUGGAGCAGAGAAGCUGAAAUUGACAAGGCAAACGGGGACCCCAGGAUGAGUCUGCCGGCAGCAUAUAUAAGGCAGGGACUAUAGGAAAUGAAGGUGAACUCGUGGAGAUUUUGGAGAGAAUUUAAUGAAGAGGCUGUUUACCAAGGAUCUCUCUCUGUCUCCGAGGCUGGAGUGCAAUGUUGCAAUCAGGGCUCACUGCAGCCUCGACCUCCUGGGCUCAACUGAUCUUCGUACCACAGCCUCAUGAGUAACUGGGACUACAGACGACCAUGGGCAUUUUUUCUAUGCAACUACAGAUAGUAUCUCAUGAUAUGAAUGGUCCUGGAUUUACUUACACAUCCUCCUUUGGAUGAGCAAAAAGUAAAUUUUUCACAGUGAUAGACAUUUGUAGUGCUUUUUAAAGGCACUGGUUCUGGUGGACACUGAGAGACAAUUUUUAUUUGCUGCACGUGGAAAGGACAACAACAUACCUGGACAGAAAUGCCUCGAGGAUGUACUGAAGGCCCCUCUCACUUUUCACAGCCAUAACUGUAAGUUUCCUGGGGCCUCUCCAGAAGACAAGCAGAUGCCGCUAUGCUUCCUGAACAGCCCACAGAACUCUCCCAGUUGUGGGCAGAGUCUGGUUAAGGUACAGCCUUGGAAUUAUUUUAACAUUUUCAGUCGCAUUCUUGGAGGAAGCCAAGUGGAGAAGGGUUCCUAUCCCUGGCAGGUAUCUCUGAAACAAAGGCAGAAGCAUAUUUGUGGAGGAAGCAUCGUCUCACCACAGUGGGUGAUCACGGCGGCUCACUGCAUUGCAAACAGAAACAUUGUGUCUACUUUGAAUGUUACUGCUGGAGAGUAUGACUUAAGCCAGACAGACCCAGGAGAGCAAACUCUCACUAUUGAAACUGUCAUCAUACAUCCACAUUUCUCCACCAAGAAACCAAUGGACUAUGAUAUUGCCCUUUUGAAGAUGGCUGGAGCCUUCCAAUUUGGCCACUUUGUGGGGCCCAUAUGUCUUCCAGAGCUGCGGGAGCAAUUUGAGGCUGGUUUUAUUUGUACAACUGCAGGCUGGGGCCGCUUAACUGAAGGUGGCGUCCUCUCACAAGUCUUGCAGGAAGUGAAUCUGCCUAUUUUGACCUGGGAAGAGUGUGUGGCAGCUCUGUUAACACUAAAGAGGCCCAUCAGUGGGAAGACCUUUCUUUGCACAGGUUUUCCUGAUGGAGGGAGAGACGCAUGUCAGGGAGAUUCAGGAGGUUCACUCAUGUGCCGGAAUAAGAAAGGGGCCUGGACUCUGGCUGGUGUGACUUCCUGGGGUUUGGGCUGUGGUCGAGGCUGGAGAAACAAUGUGAGGAAAAGUGAUCAAGGAUCCCCUGGGAUCUUCACAGACAUUAGUAAAGUGCUUCCCUGGAUCCACGAACACAUCCAAACUGGUAACUAAGCCAUCACACAAGGUUAAGAAGCUGCCAUUCUGCUAGGGCCAGAGACAGCAUCAGCAGAGUCCUGGCAAAUCAGAGCACCUGAACCAACAGGCUCUACCUCUGUUCUCAGUGUAGCACACAAGGAUUGUGAGGUUUACCAAGUCUAAAUAAAACAAGAGUAAAAUAUGGUAUGUGGAGCAGCAUGCAGAUAUUCAAUGAAAAAUGAAUCCAUCCAUCCUAGACCUUCUCAAACUGGCCUUUAAUUGAAACUAUCUCAGUUGAUGAUAUGCUUUCACCACUUACUUCUCUGGAUUCAGAGUCCAGAGUGCUCACCAUUACACGAUGGCACCACUUACUUCUCAAAAAAAUCCAGCAAACUAUAACAGAUCAGUAGUUAUCAACCAGGGGCAAUUUUGUCCCCAGGGACAGUAUCAGAAGACAUUUUUAAUUGUCACAACUGGCAGAGCUGAGGAGUGGCUCUGGUGUCCAGUGGGUAGGGGACUUGGAUGCUGCUAAACAUCCUACAAAGUACAGGACAGCCUCCCACAACAAAGAAUGAUCCCACCCAAAAGGUUAAUAGUACCAACAAUGAGAAUCCCUGGCGUAGAUCCAGGUAUAGUAAGUCUGCAAAAGCCAGGAUCUACAUGCAGCCAGGCCUCCGUAUCUGCAAGUUCCAUGUCAGCAGAUUCAACCAACUGUGGAUCAAAAAUAUUUGGAGAAAAAUAAAAACAAUAAAAAUAACAGUACAAUAAUAAUGACAAUACAAAUUUUUAAAAAUACAGUGUAACAACUAUUUACAUAGCAUUUACUUUGUCUUAGGUAUCGCAAGCACUCCAGAGACAAUUUAGAGUGCUACAUAGGGGAAGACAUGCCUAGGUUACAUGCAAAUACUAUGCCGUUUAAUCUAAGGAUUUGAGCAUCCUCGGAUUUUUGGUAUCUGCAAGGGUUCUGAAACCAAUCCCCCACAGAUAUUGAGGGAUGAGUGUACACCCUUGUGAUAAACUGACUAGAGAGCUCAUUGCAACUUCUUUGCCUCCUCCAAAUCCAACUUAAUUGUUUUCUUAUCUGGUGGCUUCCAACCUCAAAAAGGCUUUUAUCCUUUUCUAAACAAGUUAAUUUAAAUUAAGUUUAGUAGGAAUUUGAGUUUGUUUUCAAGUGUAUGGUACAGUGGCAGGUAUCUGAGCCCUCAGUUAAAGUUUGACCUAUUUAACCCAGCAACUCUUUUAUAGUUAUGGACAAACUAUUUCCAUCUCUAGCCUCUGUUCUUAUGUAAAAUGACCCCUUCCUCUGUGAAACCUCC
rnacentral:lncRNA from 1 species